rnacentral:siRNA from 1 species
GGAUUAAUGAUACGCCAGUUGC